rnacentral:lncRNA from 1 species
UUUUACAAAUGCAGUUAAAAGGCCAGUUCAGAUUCAUGAAUUUUUGCUAUAACUGGGAUCAGAAUUAUUGUAAGCACUAAAAUGGUGCCUUUUCUUUUCUUUUGUUUGUCACAUAUAAGAUGUAGAUCUGUGCUCUUUUGAUUAACCCCCAAUUCCAAAGACAUAUAAGUUAUCUCAUGAGACGCUGCUUGACGACAAUCUAUGGGUUUGUUUUUUUUUUUUUUUGGUUUUAAAAGAGAGGACAACAAUGAUACGCCUUUUAAUCCCUUUUGAGUAGUUGAAUUUUCUGGACCUUUUCAUUCUUUACCAUACAAGAGUACAACAUUUUUCCUUUUUUUUCUGGUGUGUCAGGAAGAUAAGAUGCGGCAGGAACACUAAGUAAACUGAAUUCUACAUUUGGCUUAUAUUAUAUUGAAUUUGCGUCAAUGUGUGUCUUUACCUUUUUCUGUUUUCAUAAUACCUACUGCAUAUAUUCUUCAGCCAGUGUAAAUGCCACUACCAUCUGGUGGGUGGGUGGAGGUGAAGUCGAUGGUGAUUUCGAUACCCGCUUAGACCCAAAACUGCCCAUUUCGCCAACUUCCUCUCUAGGCCCAUGCCAAAGCCUUUUGACUUUCUUAAGGGCUGGGAGAUUGUGGCGGUUUUUUUGUUUUGUUUUGUUUUUUUUUUUAAUACACUUGAAUUUGUUUUAAAUUUGAAUAAAGCAAAAUGUAUGUUUAGGAUAGUUGGUCUCUUAAUUAGUGUCUCAAAUAUUAAGGUUUUUA